CCUACGGGAGGCAGCAGUGGGGAAUAUUGCACAAUGGGGGAAACCCUGAUGCAGCAACGCCGCGUGGAGGAUGACGCAUUUCGGUGUGUAAACUCCUUUUAUAAGGGAAGAUAAUGACGGUACCUUAUGAAUAAGCACCGGCUAACUCCGUGCCAGCAGCCGCGGUAAUAA
rnacentral:rRNA from 1 species